GGAUUAGAUACCCUGGUAGUCCACGCCCUAAACGAUGUCGACUAGUUGUUCGGUGGGUAAAACCAUUGAGUAACGUAGCUAACGCGUGAAGUCGACCGCCUGGGGAGUACGGCCGCAAGGUUAAAACUCAAAGGAAUUGACGGGGACCCGCACAAGCGGUGGAUGAUGUGGAUUAAUUCGAUGCAACGCGAAAAACCUUACCUACCCUUGACAUGUCAGGAACUUUCCAGAGAUGGAUUGGUGCCCGAAAGGGAACCUGAACACAGGUGCUGCAUGGCUGUCGUCAGCUCGUGCCG
rnacentral:rRNA from 1 species